rnacentral:rRNA from 1 species
AUUGAACGCUGGCGGCAUGCCUUACACAUGCAAGUCGAACGGUAACGGGCCUUCGGGUGCCGACGAGUGGCGAACGGGUGAGUAAUGUAUCGGAACGUACCUUUCAGUGGGGGAUAACGUAGCGAAAGUUACGCUAAUACCGCAUAUUCUGUGAGCAGGAAAGCAGGGGAUCGCAAGACCUUGCGCUGAUUGAGCGGCCGAUAUCAGAUUAACUAGUUGGUGAGGUAAAGGCUCACCAAGGCGACGAUCUGUAGCGGGUCUGAGAGGAUGAUCCGCCACACUGGAACUGAGACACGGUCCAGACUCCUACGGGAGGCAGCAGUGGGGAAUUUUGGACAAUGGGGGCAACCCUGACCCAGCCAUGCCGCGUGAGUGAAGAAGGCCUUCGGGUUGUAAAGCUCUUUCGGCCGGGAAGAAAUCGUAUCAGCUAAUACCUGGUGCGGAUGACGGUACCGGCAUAAGAAGCACCGGCUAACUACGUGCCAGCCGCCGCGGUAAGAC